rnacentral:rRNA from 1 species
UACGUAGGGUGCGAGCGUUAAUCGGAAUUACUGGGCGUAAAGCGUGCGCAGGCGGCGCGUUAAGACAGGUGUGAAAGCCCCGAGCUUAACUUGGGAAUUGCGCUUGUGACUGGCGUGCUGGAGUGUGGCAGAGGGAGGUGGAAUUCCACGUGUAGCAGUGAAAUGCGCAGAUAUCAGGAGGAACACCAGUGGCGAAGGCGGCUCACUGGACAGGUCCUGACACUGAGGCACGAAAGCGUGGGGAGCAAACAGG